UAGAAUAAUUCUUUGUUUAUAGGCCUUGAUGGUGAAAUGGUAGACACAUAAGACUCAAAAUCUUAUGCUUUAAAGCGUGGAGGUUCGAAUCCUCUUCAAGGCA
rnacentral:tRNA from 1 species